rnacentral:rRNA from 2 species
AGGUGCGAUCAUAUCAGCACUAAUGCACCGGAUCCCAUCAGAACUCUGCAGUUAAGCGUGCUUGGGCGAGAGUAGUACUAGGAUGGGUGACCUCCUGGGAAGUCCUUGUGUUUAACCUC